rnacentral:rRNA from 1 species
GGAGGAAUAUUGGUCAAUGGGCGAGAGCCUGAACCAGCCAAGUAGCGUGCAGGAUGACGGCCCUAUGGGUUGUAAACUGCUUUUUAUAAGGGAAUAAAGUGAGUCUCGUGAGACUUUUUGCAUGUACCUUAUGAAUAAGGACCGGCUAAUUCCGUGCCAGCAGCCGCGGUAAUACGGAAGGUCCGGGCGUUAUCCGGAUUUAUUGGGUUUAAAGGGUGCGUAGGCUGUUUGUUAAGUCAGGGGUGAAAUACCGCAGCUCAACUGUGGAAUUGCCUUUGAUACUAGCAGGCUUGAAUACUGUUGCCGUGGGAGGAAUGAGUAGUGUAGCGGUGAAAUGCAUAGAUAUUACUCAGAACACCGAUUGCGAAG